UACGGAGGAUCCAAGCGUUAUCCGGAAUCAUUGGGUUUAAAGGGUCCGUAGGCGGUUUUGUAAGUCAGUGGUGAAAGCCCAUCGCUCAACGGUGGAACGGCCAUUGAUACUGCAAGACUUGAAUUAUUGGGAAGUAACUAGAAUAUGUAGUGUAGCGGUGAAAUGCUUAGAGAUUACAUGGAAUACCAAUUGCGAAGGCAGGUUACUACCAAUAAUAUUGAC
rnacentral:rRNA from 1 species